rnacentral:rRNA from 1 species
UACGUAGGGUGCGAGCGUUGUUCGGAAUUACUGGGCGUAAAGGGCGCGUAGGCGGCCAUCUAAGUCAGACGUGAAAUCCCCCGGCUUAACCUGGGAACUGCGUCUGAUACUGGAAGGCUUGAGUAUGGGAGAGGGAUGUAGAAUUCCAGGUGUAGCGGUGAAAUGCGUAGAUAUCUGGAGGAAUACCGGUGGCGAAGGCGGCUUUCUGGACAGAAACUGACGCUGAUGCGCGAAAGCUAGGGGAGCAAACAGG